CAAUAGCGUAUAUUAAAGUUGUUGCAGUUAAAAAGCUCGUAGUUGAAUUUCUGUCAGGAGUGACCGGGCCUUUGGAUGAACUUCCAUUGUUUUUUGCUCUGUUUGUCAUCUCUAGACAUCCUGAAAUAUUUUUUAAAAAUAUUUCUCUUUUACUGUUAGCAAAAUAGAGUGUUCCAAGCAAAGCGUAGUUUUGAAUACAUUAGAAUGGAAUAAUAAGAUAGGACUUUGGUGCUAUUUUGUUGGUUUGCACACCAAGGUAAUGAUUAAUAGGGACAGUUGGGGGUAUUUGUAUUUAAUUGUCAGAGGUGAAAUUCUUGGAUUUAUGAAAGACGAACUACUGCGAAAGCAUUUACCAAGGAUGUUUUCAUUAA
rnacentral:rRNA from 1 species